GUCCAGGCAAUGUCCUGGGCAACACAGAUGCCUGCGAGCCUGUGGGCUGAGUGCUAACCAUGUUUGAUAUUCUCUGUUCCCCUCCUGUCUCCCCGGCUGCCUGGGCUGUCUGGCCAGGUCUCAACCGCUGCUGCUCACGUCCUUCCUGGCAGGGCGCCUGGAGAUCCCUCCCUCCAGGAGGGGCCAGUCUGCAGCACUGUGGGCAGCGCGGAAGGCAUCCAGGCGUCUGGUCCAUGAGGUCAUCAGACAUCUGGUCCUCUGUGCCGGCUUCUCCCUGUCUGACUGCCUAUCGUAUUCUAACUAGCUCAGCUGCCUGCACCACUAGCAGCAUACCUCUUGUUGAACACCGAUUCUUACGUAUGCAAUCAUGGACUCAUCUAACUCAUGGUCUCGCUAUGUAGUUCACGCUGGGUCUGAAUUUACUCUGAAGUCCAGGCUGGCCUCCGACUUGCAGUGACCCUCCUGCCUCGGCCUCCCAAACGCUGGGAUUGCAGGAGUGCACCACCCUGCUUCUCACUAUAUUUUAAACCUACUCUGGCUUCCUGUUUUCAUGACUGGGCCCACGGUUGCUUUUCUUUCCUUCUCCACUACCCUGAUCCAGUUUGCCUUCUGCUAGAAGCAUGGAAUCCUUGUUUUCUCCACGCUCACCUCCGAUAGCACAUCCAGAGCCUUGAUAGAGUCUUGGUGGUGAUUUGUUCGGUCAGCCGUGCCUUCUCAGCCCCUUCCUCCCCUCACCUGUUCUCUGCACGCCCUGCACUGCCGCGCCCAAUCCUGCUUCAUCCUUUGGUAGAGCAUCUGUGCGCAUGCUCGGGCGUUCAGCUUCCAGCUCGCCCUCUGCAGGCUUUAGACCCUGCAGAAGCCAGGACCGCAGUAGGCGGCAUCCACAGGGCUGCAUCCUCAGGGCGCACCUUCUGUCUUCAGUUUGCAGGCUGCUGCUGGGGGGAAAGACAGGAGCAAAGCAGGCCCAAGUGAAUUUAUAUCUCCUUUUUCUCUUCGAGGCUACAUUAGCAUCUCUUUAAAAUGUCCCCAGCAGCUCCUUGCUCUCCUCUUUAUGCACUGUAAAAUUCAUCUAUUACCUUCCUUUAUUCAACAAAAUUGAGUUUACUUUUUGACGUUAUUCUUUAUGGCAUCAAUCUUCUUCAUUUGAGCUAUCGCAUUGCUUGUUUUUGGUUACCAGUUUGAUGUUUUAAACAUGCUUUUAAAAUGUGCGCUCGGUGGGCAGUGCACACCUGUAAUCCUAGUACUCAGGAGGCUGAAAAAGGAGAACAGCUGUGAGUUCAAGGCCAGCCUGAACCACAUAGUGAGACCUUGCCUCAAAACAGAAACAAAACAAAAAUAUCUGUACUCCAAGAAGAGUUCCCCCGACAUCUACAAUAGGCUAGUUUUUGUUAUACGGUUGGGAUUUAAUUUCCUCCUUCUGGAUCUAUCUAUAUAUUGUUUCAGAAAGGCCUCUGGUCCUGAGAGCAAACAUAUUUUCUUUGAGCUUGGAAAUUUGCCCUUUUAUAAUCUCUCACACAAGUCAGGCACAGCUCUGCCUGGCUGGCUUCUGUUCCUGCGGGUUUUACGAAGCUCUCCUUCUGUCCCAAGGUUCUCAGGGCUUACUUGCACUAAAUGUGCUCCUCUUCAGCCAUCAGAAUCCAGUUUGGAGUAAGUGUGUCCUUUACGGUCCAGGCUGCCACGCCUCCUGUCUCAAUCAUUGAGUCAGGACCUUGUCCUCAGAGGCAGGCGGGGUCUCUGUCCUGCCCGGUGGUUGUGCUCUGGUGACUGUCAUGCCCCAGUGCAGGGGCAGUCUUGGGAGAAAUGCCAGGCCUUCCCCUGGUGCGGGGUUCCCGGGUUCUCUUGUUACAGGCAGCUGAGCUAUUUAGAAAUAUUAUAGGCAGGGCAUAACUCUUGAGGAAGCCAGAAGAGGACUAAAAGUCUGGUGACCUUGGAGGAGACACACACCUCUAGCUGUUUGGCCAGAUCUCAGGACAAAAGGUAAAGCAAAUGCAACCACACUCUUAAGUAUAAUUCUUAGGGAUUAGGUAUGGAUCACUUUGAGAAGCCAGGAGUCACCAUCCCAGCCCUCUACAGGAAGAGUCACUGAUCUAAGAAUGCUCGCUUGCUUGUGAUUCACUUCUCCAUUUGUCCCUGAUUUGGUCAGUUUCAUCUGAAUAAUUAAUCUGAUUGGCUGAUCAUAGUUCUGUCCCACCUCAUGCCCAUCUGCCCUGCCAGUUCCCAGUUUUCCCCACCUUGAACCUGUCUCACCUCCUCGGUUUACUCUAUGAAAGUUCCUAGAAAAGACAGAGUCCUUGGCAACCCACCGGGGACCCCUUCUGUCUCUCUCAGACAGAAGCUUUCUUUUUCUCAAUAAAUAUUUCUGCUGUUAACCUCCAUUGUUCCUGAAAUUCAUUCUUCACUUUUAGAGAACACGAACUCGUACCGUCAGGAAUUUCGUUCCCCUGUUUCGCUCUCAGCCAGAUCCCGUGGAUGCGUCAGCCUUGAGGGUCCAGGGCCCAGCGAUGCUUCUCUAGUGGCUGGGUAGGGCCCCAGAUAUCACUGAUGUGAUAGAAAGGAGAGCAAGACGCAGC